rnacentral:rRNA from 1 species
CUAACUCCGUGCCAGCAGCCGCGGUAAUACGGAGGGUGCGUAGCGUUAAUUCGGAAUUACUGGGCGUAAAGCGCAUGCAGGUGGUUUGUUAAGUCAGAUGUGAAAGCCCGGGGCUCAACCUCGGAAUUGUCAUUUGAAACUGGCAAACUAGAGUACUGUAGAGGGGGUAGAAUUUCAGGUGUAGCGGUGAAAUGCGUAGAGAUCUGAAGGAAUACCGGUGGCGAAGGCGGCCCCCCUGGACAGAUACUGACACUCAGAUGCGAAAGCGUGGGGAGCAAACAGGAUUAGAUACCCUGGUAG